AACGAACGCUGGCGGCAUGCCUAACACAUGCCAGUCGAACGAGACCUUCGGGUCUAGUGGCGCACGGGUGCGUAACGCGUGGGAAUCUGCCCUUGGGUUCGGAAUAACAGUGAGAAAUUACUGCUAAUACCGGAUGAUGUCUUCGGACCAAAGAUUUAUCGCCCAGGGAUGAGCCCGCGUAGGAUUAGCUAGUUGGUGGGGUAAUGGCCUACCAAGGCGACGAUCCUUAGCUGGUCUGAGAGGAUGAUCAGCCACACUGGGACUGAGACACGGCCCAGACUCCUACGGGAGGCAGCAGUGGGGAAUAUUGGACAAUGGGCGCAAGCCUGAUCCAGCAAUGCCGCGUGAGUGAUGAAGGCCUUAGGGUUGUAAAGCUCUUUUACCCGGGAUGAUAAUGACAGUACCGGGAGAAUAAGCGCCGGCUAACUCCGUG
rnacentral:rRNA from 1 species